rnacentral:rRNA from 1 species
AGCGAACGCUGGCGGCAGGCCUAACACAUGCAAGUCGAACGAAGUCUUCGGACUUAGUGGUGGACGGGUGAGUAACACGUGGGAACGUGCCUUUAGGUUCGGAAUAACUCAGGGAAACUUGUGCUAAUACCGAAUGUGCCCUUCGGGGGAAAGAUUUAUCGCCUUUAGAGCGGCCCGCGUCUGAUUAGCUAGUUGGUGAGGUAAAGGCUCACCAAGGCGACGAUCAGUAGCUGGUCUGAGAGGAUGAUCAGCCACAUUGGGACUGAGACACGGCCCAACUCCUACGGGAGGCAGCAGUGGGGAAUCUUGCGCAAUGGGCGAAAGCCUGACGCAGCCAUGCCGCGUGAAUGAUGAAGGUCUUAGGAUUGUAAAAUUCUUUUACUAGGGACGAUAAUGACAGUACCUGGAGAAAAAGCCCCGGCUAACUUCGUGCCAGCAGCCGCCGUAACAC